AUACUUAUCUAGCAGGGGAGAUACCAUGAUCAUGAAGGUGGAUUUCCCAGGGUCAGGCUUAUCUGUUGCACUCUGGAUGUGCUGAGCCCUGCUCAUUUCCCCAAAUGUGGGAAACUCGACUGCAUAAUUUGUGGUAGUGGGGGCUGUGUUCAUGCUUCCUCCC